UGGCUCAGAGGAUAAAGCGUCUGCCUGCAAUGCAGGAGACCCGGGUUCGAUCCCUGG
rnacentral:tRNA from 1 species